CCUACGGGAGGCAGCAGUGAGGAAUAUUGGUCAAUGGCCGUAAGGCUGAACCAGCCAAGUAGCGUGAGGGAAGACUGCCCUAUGGGUUGUAAACCUCUUUUAUGCGGGGAUAAAGGUGUCCACGUGUGGAUGUUUGCAGGUACAGCAUGAAUAAGGAUCGGCUAACUCCUUGCCAGCAGCCGCGGUAAUACGGAGGAUCCGAGCGUUAUCCGGAUUUAGUGGGGUUAAAGGGUGCGUAGGCGGCCUUUUAAGUCAGCUGUGAAAGCCUGUAGCUCAACCAUAGAAUUGCCGUUGAGACUGGGAGGCUUGAGUGUGUGUGAGGCAGGCGGGAUGCGUGGUGUAGCGGUGAAAUGCUUAGAUAUCACGCAGAACCCUGAUUGCGAAGGCAGCCUGCUAAGCCAUGACUGACGCUGAUGCACGAAAGCGUGGGGAUCAAACAGGAUUAGAUACCCUAGUAGUC
rnacentral:rRNA from 1 species